AGAGAGAGUUCUUUAGCUAGUUCAUUGGUGUGAAGGGCUUGUUGAUUUGGUGGUCAGCCAAUUCAUCUUUGUAUGUUGUUUGGUGGUUAGCCAACACAUUCAUUCUUUCUUAGGUGGUUAGCCUUAGAUCGUGGGUAUAUCAAGAGCCAUUCCGCAUCUCUUGACGAUCCUUUCAAUCCAUUUCAGUUCCAGAAGUGUCAUUUGCCUUCUCGGAUCAUAUCUAACACCUAGCUAAAGUGAUCCUUCAAUUCAGGACGCAUCAUAUAUUAUAUCGUGUUUCGGGUUGUUAAACCCUGGUUUAAGUUGAGGUUGAGUUUGGUGAUGAGCUAGUAAUUAGCAUAAU
rnacentral:lncRNA from 1 species